rnacentral:rRNA from 1 species
AUGUCCUACGGGACGCAGCAGUGGGGAAUAUUGCACAAUGGGGGAAACCCUGAUGCAGCGACGCCGCGUGAGUGAAGAAGUAAUUCGUUACGUAAAGCUCUAUCAGCAGGGAAGAAACACUGACCUUACGGUCAGCAGACGGUACCUGAGUAAGAAGCCCCGGCUAACUACGUGCCAGCAGCCGCGGUAAUACGUAGGGGGCAAGCGUUAUCCGGAUUUACUGGGUGUAAAGGUAGCGUAGACGGCUGUGCAAGUCUGAAGUGAAAGCACGUGGCUCAACCGCGGAACUGCUUUGGAUACUGUAU